rnacentral:rRNA from 1 species
GAUGAACGCUGGCGGCGUGCCUAAUACAUGCAAGUCGAGCGAACAGACGCGGAGCUUGCUCCUCUGACGUUAGCGGCGGACGGGUGAGUAACACGUGGAUAACCUACCUAUAAGACUGGGAUAACUUCGGGAAACCGGAGCUAAUACCGGAUAAUAUAUUGAACCGCAUGGUUCAAUAGUGAAAGACGGUUUUGCUGUCACUUAUAGAUGGAUCCGCGCCGCAUUAGCUAGUUGGUAAGGUAACGGCUUACCAAGGCAACGAUGCGUAGCCGACCUGAGAGGGUGAUCGGCCACACUGGAACUGAGACACGGUCCAGACUCCUACGGGAGGCAGCAGUAGGGAAUCUUCCGCAAUGGGCGAAAGCUUGACGGAGCAACGCCGCGUGAGCGAUGAAGGUCUUCGGAUCGUAAAACUCUGUUAUUAGGGAAGAACAAAUGUGUAAGUAACUAUGCACGUCUUGACGGUACCUAAUCAGAAAGCCACGGCUAACUACGUG